CAGUAGCCGCGGGAAUACAGAGGAUGCAAGCGUUAUCCGGAAUGAUUGGGCGUAAAGCGUCUGUAGGUGGCUUUUCAAGUCCUCCGUCAAAUCCCCGGGCUCAACCCUGGACAGGCAGUGGAAACUACCAAGCUGGAGUACGGUAGGGGCAGAGGGAAUUUCCGGUGGGGAGGUGAAAUGCGUCGAGAUUGGAAAGAACACCAACGGUGAAAGCGCUCUGCUGGGCCGACACUGACACUGAGAGACGAAAUCUAGGGGAGCAAAUGGGAUUAGAUACCCCCGUAGUCCCUGUCUCUUAUAC
rnacentral:rRNA from 1 species